rnacentral:rRNA from 1 species
UACAGAGGGUGCGAGCGUUGUCCGGAAUCACUGGGCGUAAAGGGCGCGUAGGUGGCGGCCCAAGUCCAUGGUGAAAGCUCGAUGCUCAACAUCGAGUCGGCCACGGAUACUGGGUUGCUCGAGCACUGUAGGGGCAGAUGGAAUUCCGGGUGUAGCGGUGGAAUGCGUAGAGAUCCGGAAGAACACCGGUGGCGAAGGCGGCCUG